rnacentral:rRNA from 1 species
AUUGAACGCUGGCGGCAUGCCUUACACAUGCAAGUCGAACGGCAGCACGGGGCAACCUGGUGGCGAGUGGCGAACGGGUGAGUAAAGUAUCGGAACGUACCAUUCAGUGGGGGAUAACGUAGCGAAAGUUACGCGAAUACCGCAUAUUCUGUGAGCAGGAAAGCAGGGGAUCGCAAGACCUUGCGCUGAUUGAGCGGCCGAUAUCAGAUUAGCUAGUUGGUGAGGUAAAGGCUCACCAAGGCGACGAUCUGUAGCGGGUCUGAGAGGAUGAUCCGCCACACUGGAACUGAGACACGGUCCAGACUCCUACGGGAGGCAGCAGUGGGGAAUUUUGGACAAUGGGGGCAACCCUGAUCCAGCCAUGCCGCGUGAGUGAAGAAGGCCUUCGGGUUGUAAAGCUCUUUCGGCCGGGAAGAAAUCGCAUGGGCUAAUACCCUGUGUGGAUGACGGUACCGGAAUAAGAAGCACCGGCUAACUACGUGCCAGCCGCCGCAGUAAAAC